rnacentral:rRNA from 1 species
CAGCGGCCGCGGGAAUACGUAGGUGGCAAGCGUUGUCCGGAAUUAUUGGGCGUAAAGCGCGCGCAGGUGGUUUAAUAAGUCUGAUGUGAAAGCCCACGGCUCAACCGUGGAGGGUCAUUGGAAACUGUUAAACUUGAGUGCAGGAGAGAAAAGUGGAAUUCCUAGUGUAGCGGUGAAAUGCGUAGAGAUUAGGAGGAACACCAGUGGUGAAGGCGGCUUUUUGGCCUGUAACUGACACUGAGGCGCGAAAGCGUGGGGAGCAAACAGGAUUAGAUACCCCAGUAGUCCCUGUCUCUUAUAC